rnacentral:lncRNA from 10 species
GAGAAAUUAUGUUUCAAAACUUAUCAUCAUUAGUUUCUAGACUUAUUAUUUCUUUUUAAGUUUUUACCUACAUUUUAGACUGACCCUGCUUGUGCCUGUGAACCAACCAACAAUCUCUGGCUGCAGCUCAGAAAGGACAAAAGAGAAUGGGUAAUGUAAAAACCUGGAUCAGUAUUUUAGUUCUGAACAAUUAUCCUGCAAAUCCUGCCAGCUGAUGGGAAUAAAUAGGAUGCCCAUGAUCCGGAGGUUUACUUUUUGGGAAAGUAAAACCAAGGGAGCUAACCAAAGUAAAACCCCAUACACCCAAAUCUGAGCAAGCAUAACUAUAGCCACCAGUUAUCUGGGUGUGUCACAAGACACUCUUUUCUUUCCUUUGUUGGAGGAGAACUCAUUUCCACAGCUUCACUUUAGCAUUAUGGCUUAUGUUAAGGAGUCUAUGCAACUUCCAUGCUGAGACACGUUUUUGGUCCCAAAGUUAAUUCCAAGCUUUGUGUCAAAGGCCUAAGAAAACUGGAUCUUAGGGAUCCAGAAGCCAGACAAUAAUGAAAGUCAAAAGGCACAGCACAGGUGAGCAUGACUAAUUCCCGCUGAUUAAGCCAAGCUUCCUGUUUCAUGGAUAAAGGUCAUGCUAGUAUCCAUGGCAUAAAUGAGGUCUAGAGAACUAAAAGGCUACUGCCAGCAGGGGAGAUAGGGAGGACAUAAGACAGGGCAGCUAUUCCCAUCCCCUAGACCCCCUGUUAACAUGGAUGAAAGCCACUUUGACACCCAUGGGUGGCACCCUGUCACAGUUGGUGGGACUCAGCAAUACAGGGACAGAGGAAAGAAAGAGGAACAACUCACUUUCUCUCCCUCACACACCCUGAGUAUUUGCUAGAAAAAGAAAGGAACCAGGCACACAUGCUCCCCUAUUUCUAGAUGAGUAGCCAUUCAUCUUUAGUCUGCACCCUUUUAGAACAUGUCCUGAACCCCUGGGACUCUUCUGAAAAAAAUGCCUUCUUUUUUCCUUUUUCUUCCUCUGUCCUCUAUUCACUGGUAGGUAGGUAAUGGUGUCCCAUACCACAGAACACUUCCCUCAGAUGCAUCCUUCUAACUGGGAGGAGUUAAUUUCUCAAACCGUAGACUAAUUGGCUUAGGAUUAGGUUCAGGGGAAGGGAACACAGAAACAUGACAUGCCAGCAAAAGGGUAAAAGGUUUUUUUUCCCCGUUGGGCUUUUGGCCUCUCUCUCCCUGUGCAAACUGGUAAAAGGCGUCUGGAUUUUCUAGUUGUCCUUACCCACUGCUUGUUUCGUUUUGAUACAUAUUUUCUAAUAACCUGUUUGUCUCUUCUCACUUUUAGGCCAUCAAACUCCAGUCUGCACCUGGAGCCUUGGAUGAUGGCCUUUUUUACUGGGAACCCUGAAAUAGGCCUCUGAGGGAAAUCUGAUUGCCAUUUUCCCAAAACAGCUUCCCUGACAAUAGGAAGCAAUUAAGAUUGGUCUUCAUCCUUAUCUUUAUCCUUAUUCUAAUGGCAGUUAGAGGUACUUCUUUAGAGGGGGGAAUGAGACAGCCAAAUGCCUAGGCAGAUAAAAAGGUGUACCUGGAAAAUUUCCAACCCGUCACACAAGUGUUUACAUCAGAUGCUUUUGUGUAGAUGAGGGAAACUUCCCAGGGCUUGUCUGGGUAUGCCCACAGUGGACUGGAGCCCAAAAUGCACACUGGAGGAAGUGGAUGGAGCCACGUGGAUGUCAUGCCUUAUGCAGGGGAGGAGCCUGCUCUCUUCAGCUCCUGUGGUAAUGUGGGAAUCGAUCUGUGAGCAUAUUUAACUAUCCGGCUAUUUUGGAGAUUGAAAAAAGAAGACCUGAUUUAUCAUGUGCAAUAUCUCACACAUCUGUCAUUUCUAUUCUACCGCAAUUCGAUGGAGUCUUGUUCUGUGGUCCAGGCUAGAGGGCAGUGGCAUGAUCUCGGCUCACUACAAGCUCUGCCUCCCGGGUUCACGCCAUUCUCCUGCCUCAGCCUCCUGAGUAGCUGGGACUACAGGCGCCCGCCACCACGCCUGGCUAAUUUUUUGUAUAUUUACUAGAGAUGGCUAGUGUUAGCCAAGAUGGUCUCGAUCUCCUGACCUCGUGAUCUGCCCACCUCAGCCUGCCAAAGUGCUGGGAUUACUGGCGUGAGCCACCGUGCCUGGCCAGCAUCCUCUAAUUAUUAUUCAUAGUUUGUGAAUUUAGGCCUACGUGAAUAAUAAUAUAAUAUUUACUAUGAUGUUACUAUCUACCAACCUUAUUUUUCUUUUCUAUAAAAUAGGAGCCAAAAUAAUAUUUAUGUCAUACCUUAUGAAGUUAAAAUAAAAUAUAACGAAUGAGGGGCUUAACAAUGAGUGUCAUUUUGUAAUUACUUUGUACCAUUAUUAAUUGCUGAGACAGAAUAUGGUAUCACUAGUCAUCUGUAUCUAUUGCACAACUUUAUUUUGAUUCAUUCCUUACUAUUUUGCAUAGAUAGGCCUAAAUUUUUGAUCCACUGCUCAACUCCUGUCUUUAAACCAUUGGUUCUCAAAUAGAGUUGAUUUUGACACCUAGGGAACAUUUGACAACAUAUGGAGAUAUUGUUGAUUUUACAGGGCAACCCUUCAUAAGCACAGAAUUAUCUGGCCCCAAAUGUCGACAGUGUCAAGUUCGAGAAACUCUGCACUAGGCUUUUCUGUCUGGUUACUCACCCCUCUUCUUUGCACUGCCCCCAGUUUUAUGGAUAUUGAAUUCCUGAUUUCUCACUAUAUUAAUUGCACUUAUAGAUAUUCUAAAUUGAUUUGUAUAUAUCUUCCUAGUUUGACCCAUUGCUUUUAACUGAAUUUUACUGGGCUUUUAUAAAGGCCAUUUCCAUGGAGUUUAGUCAUUAUCUUCACCAAAUUUUUAUUUGCUUCAGUCUGGGGAGGAACUCUAUAUUAAAAAAUAAAAACAAACCCAAAAACUAAUUUAUGAAAGACAUUUUAUAAUGUAAUUACUUAAACAUUUUUUUUCUUCUUUCUCAUACGAUCUUUUAAAUUCAGUGAGUGACAUGUGGUUUUCAGGCUGGGUCAGGAAGUUUGCUUGGACGGGGAAAUUCUGUCUGCUGAGACACUAGGGGAGCAAAUGCCUAUGUGGGCACAGGCUGGUCACUGACCUCCUAGGGUUCCCUGACAAUAAAUUAGUCCUAGUUGAGGUCGCCAUCAUCAGAACUUAAUUGGUCCCUGGUACUGGUGAAUCUCUGCACCACAGAGACUAAUCAGUUACAGAACUCAGCUUCUGGGCAUAGGCAACCUUUUCUGUUUUUUCAAUUUUUUGUCAGCAAAGUUGAGAAAAUGAACACACUCAAACAGCCCAUUUCUUAGCUUAUCAAUAUCCGUACCCACUUCUUUCCCUCAUCAACAUGUAUUUUCCAUAUUUUGUUGGUAUUAACCUCUGACACUCAUCCACACAAGAAAGUCUACAAAGCCUAAACUAACUUUUAAACAUUAUUUAAGGUAAUAGCUUUGUCUUCCACCAGAAACCUGGCGACAUUUUUAAAAGGAUUUGAAGAGAUAUAUACCCGAGGGACAGAGAGAAAAAUUAGUGCUGACCAGUCUGGGCCUACUUGACUAACACAAAAUAGAUUAAAUUAAUAAAAACAAGAUGUUCUGCAUUUAUAAACAUGUUAACUCUUUUUAAUGUGUAUGACUCAUUAAUGAGUUCAUAAUUAGAUUUUGAAGGAUUUCAUUCUGGACCUUGCAGAUUGUAUGUAUCUUUCUGGUAAAUUAGGAAGUAUAAUUUUUCAAUAAAAAAGCUCACUGGAAACCCCUGUAACAAGUAAUAAAUAUUUAAAAUUUGCAGAAAUGUUUACUUAUUCAAUAAAUACUGACUCCACAUUAAGAAAUGCUAGAGAUAAAGCAUUUCUAAAGGCAAAUUCUACUGUUUCCUGGUUUUACAUUCUAGAUUUUAAGACAAAGAUGGCUGCCUUGAAAUUUUAGUUAUGUGAAAGAAAUUUCGUAAUGAUAUAACUUUUUCUUACUCUGACUCUGUGAGACUUUUGUUUAUAUUUUAUGAAACUAUUUCUAUAGCACAUGUUAUAUAAAUAUAUUUGAGAAAUCAUUUUUAGCUUUCAGAAAUUAGUUUGCUUAAUACAUUUUAAUUUUAAUAAAGCUCCAUUCCUCUAGUCCUUUCAUAUCUGGAAUAUAUUUCCUAUACAAUAUCUUCUAUAUUAUUUAAUACUGCUGUUUUUUAAAAGAGAAAUUGAAACCUUUUACUCAUAUAUACCAGACUUCCAAAACUGUCUUGGUUUGAAAAUCAGUUCUCCAAAAUACUUUCUCUAACUUAACUUUAUAUCUUAGGUGCAAAUACAAUCCUGAUAAAUACUAUAGUCAGGCAUUUUAAAAACUUUAUGUUUCCCAUAUACUCAGCAGAGUAUCAUCUUCUUGCCCUUUCCCUCACUAUGGUAUCCUUCAAGAACUUAUUAGCUCAAAUUCCAAAUCCUCAAUGAAACAAUCAUCUAUCAAUUUCAUAAUUCACUGUUUUAUUCAAUAAAUAUUUAGUGAAUGAUUUCUGUGUGUCAGGAGUGUAUUGGGAGCUUGGGGACAAAGUGGUGGGCUAGAUAGGCAU